rnacentral:lncRNA from 1 species
CUCUUAGGAAAAAAUAUGACCAGGCAGACUAAAAGUUCUAGAAAGUUGAAACAUCACACUUCAAUGGCUAGAAGUUUGCUAUACAUUAUUUGUCUAGCUCAGUGUCAUCAUGUGAAAGGUCUUUGCUUUGCUCAUUUUCCAGUAGUACGACCAUUGUCAUGGUUGUGCAGUAUAUCUAAAUGAAUUUCUAAGUUUACUAAUUG